UGGGGAAUAUUGCACAAUGGGCGAAAGCCUGAUGCAGCGACGCCGCGUGAGGGAUGACGGCCUUCGGGUUGUAAACCUCUUUCAGCAGGGAAGAAGCGAAAGUGACGGUACCUGCAGAAGAAGCGCCGGCUAACUACGUGCCAGCAGCCGCGGUAAUACGUAGGGCGCAAGCGUUGUCCGGAAUUAUUGGGCGUAAAGAGCUCGUAGGCGGUUAGUCGCGUCUGCUGUGAAAACUCGAGGCUCAACCUCGGGCUUGCAGUGGGUACGGGCUGACUAGAGUGCGGUAGGGGUGACUGGAAUUCCUGGUGUAGCGGUGGAAUGCGCAGAUAUCAGGAGGAACACCGAUGGCGAAGGCAGGUCACUGGGCCGCAACUGACGCUGAGGAGCGAAAGCAUGGGGAGCGAACAGGAUUAGAUACCCUGGUAGUCCAUGCCGUAAACGUUGGGCACUAGGUGUGGGGUCCACUCCACGGAUUCCGUGCCGCAGCAAACGCAUUAAGUGCCCCGCCUGGGGAGUACGGCCGCAAGGCUAAAACUCAAAUGAAUUGACGGGGUCAUAGCUGUUUCCU
rnacentral:rRNA from 1 species